rnacentral:rRNA from 1 species
AGCGUUGACUCCAAUUGAACCGCAGGCUUCAUCCCUUGUGGUGCUCCCCCGCCAAUUCCUUUAAGUUCAUACUUGCGUACGUACUUCCCAGGCGGCAGACUUAACGGCUUCCCUGCGGCACUGCAUUGGCCACAAGCCAAUGCAUCACCGAGUCUGCAUCGUUUACAGCUGGGACUACCCGGGUAUCUAAUCCGGUUUGCUCCCCCAGCUUUAAUCCCUCACCGUCGAACGUGUUCUGGUACACCGCCUUCGCCACAGGUGGUCAUCAAUAGAUCAAAGGAUUUUACCCCUUCCUACUGAGUACCGUGUACCUCUCCCACUCCCUAGCUGCACAGUAUUUUCGGCGGCCUAUACGUUGAGCGCAUAGAUUUAACCGAAAACUUAUGCAACCGGCUACGGAUGCUUUAGGCCCAAUAAACCUCCUGACCACUCGAGGUGCUGGUUUUACCGCGGCGGCUGACACCAGAACUUGCCCACCCCUUAUUCGCCAGUGAUUCUACAACUGACAAAAGACUCCUUUAGCAGGAGACACUCGGAUUAACCUUGUCGUGCUUUCGCACAUUGCAAAGGUUUCUCGCCUGCUGCGCCCCAUAGGGCCUGUGUCCGUGUCUCAGUACCCAUCUCCGGGCCCCUCCUCUCAGAGCCCGUACCUGUUAUAGCCUUGGUGGGCCAUUACUCACCAACAAGUGAUAGGCCGCAGUCCAUCCU